CUCAACAAAUUGGAUGCAGUCUAUCACAGUGCCACCAUUUUAUCACCAAAGCCCCAUAUACUACCCACCACUGCGACCUGUAUGCUCUCGUUGGUCGGCCCUCGUAUCAUACUCGUCGCCAAACCCACUGGCUACAGGUUAUCUACAAGUCUCUGCUAGGUAAAGCCCCACCUUAUCUCAGCUCACUGGUCACCAUAGCAGCACCCACUCAUAGCACUCGCUCCAGCAGGUAUAUCUCACUAGUCACCCCCAAAGCCAACUCCUCCUUUGGUCGCCUUUCCUUCCAGUUCUCUGCUGCCAAUGACUGGAACGAACUGCAAUAAUCACUGAAGCUGGAGACUCAUAUCUCCCUCACUAGCUUUAAGCACCAGCUGUUAGAGCAGCUCACAGAUCACUGCACCUGUACAUAGCCCAUCUGUAAACAGCCCAUCUAUCUACCUCAUCCCCAUACUGUAUUUAUUUAUUUAUCUUGCUCCUUUGCACCCAGUAUCUCUACUUGCACAUUCAUCUUCUGCACAUCUACCAUUCCAGUGUUUAAUUGCCAUAUUGUAAUUACUUCGCCACCAUGGCCUAUUUAUUGCCUUAACUCCCUUAUCUUACCUCAUUUGCACUCACUGUAUAUAUAUUUUUUGUUUUCUUUUUUUUCUACUGUAUUAUUGACUGUAUGUUUUGUUUAUUCCAUGUGUAACUCUGUGUUGUUGUAUGUGUUGAAUUGCUAUGCUGUAUCUUGGCCAGGUCGCAGUUGCAAAUGAGAACUUGUUCUCAACUAGCCUACCUGGUUAUAUAAAGGUGAAAUAAAAUUUAAAAAAUAAAUUGUAUUCUAUACUAUUCUACGUAUCUUAGUUACUUAAUAAUGUUUACAUAUCUUGCAUUACUCAUCUCAUAUGUAUAUACUGUAUUCUAUACUAUUCUACUGUUGUAACGUCCGUUCCGCUCUGACAUCGCUCGUCCAUAUAUGUAUAUAGUCUUAAUUCAUUCCUACUUAGAUUUGUGUGUAUUGGGUAUAUGUUGUGUAAUUUGUUAGAUAUUACUUGUUAGACAUUACUGCACUCAUAUUACUGCAUUAUUACUGCACACAUAACCCAACGUUUGUAGAAAAACUCAAGUUGCUUUAAUAACAUCAAUAACUCUAAAUAGAGCAUAUAGGAAUACCUAUUUCGUUGUGAACCGCUCGACACAGAAUAGCCACAUGUGCGCACUCCCUCAAAUCGUUUGGAGAAAAUAUCCUUUCUAUUUUAUUCAACUUUGUUCAAUUGUAUUCUUCGUACUAUAAAAUAAUGCCAAGGAAUUCUAAGAAAAUCUUGUCUGCUAAAUGAACUUGUGUAGCCCACAGCCAUUUGGCAUAGCCAGAUCAGAACCUAACAUAAGGACAACUCAGUCUGCUAUUCUGUUCUUCUGAAAUAGACUACAUUUUCUUCCAAUCAUGUUUCUUUAGACCUGUCUAAAAUAAAUAAUAAAUUUAUUGUGAAGGUGUAGCCUAUAUUACAUGGAUUUCUUAGACUUUUGGGUGUCAAAAUAAUUUUUCAAUUCGCUUGAUCAAACUUUCCUGUUUUAUAUUUGG
ensembl:lncRNA